UACGUAGGGGGCUAGCGUUGUCCGGAAUCAUUGGGCGUAAAGCGCGUGUAGGCGGCCCGGUAAGUCCGCUGUGAAAGUCGGGGGCUCAACCCUCGGAUGCCGGUGGAUACUGUCGGGCUCGAGUCCGGAAGAGGAGUGUGGAAUUCCUGGUGUAGCGGUGGAAUGCGCAGAUAUCAGGAGGAACACCAAUAGCGAAGGCAGCUCGCUGGGACGGUACUGACGCUGAGACGCGAAAGCGUGGGGAGCGAACAGG
rnacentral:rRNA from 1 species